AGCGAACGGGGAGGAGCCCAGAGCCUGAAUCAGUGUGUGUGUUAGUGGAAGCGUCUGGAAAGGCGCGCGAUACAGGGUGACAGCCCCGUACACAAAAAUGCACAUGCUGUGAGCUCGAUGAGUAGGGCGGGACACGUGGUAUCCUGUCUGAAUAUGGGGGGACCAUCCUCCAAGGCUAAAUACUCCUGACUGACCGAUAGUGAACCAGUACCGUGAGGGAAAGGCGAAAAGAACCCCGGCGAGGGGAGUGAAAAAGAACCUGAAACCGUGUACGUACAAGCAGUGGGAGCCUCUUAAUGGGGUGACUGCGUACCUUUUGUAUAAUGGGUCAGCGACUUAUAUUCUGUAGCAAGGUUAACCGAAUAGGGGAGCCGAAGGGAAACCGAGUCUUAACUGGGCGUUAAGUUGCAGGGUAUAGACCCGAAACCCGGUGAUCUAGCCAUGGGCAGGUUGAAGGUUGGGUAACACUAACUGGAGGACCGAACCGACUAAUGUUGAAAAAUUAGCGGAUGACUUGUGGCUGGGGGUGAAAGGCCAAUCAAACCGGGAGAUAGCUGGUUCUCCCCGAAAGCUAUUUAGGUAGCGCCUCGUGAAUUCAUCUCCGGGGGUAGAGCACUGUUUCGGCAAGGGGGUCAUCCCGACUUACCAACCCGAUGCAAACUGCGAAUACCGGAGAAUGUUAUCACGGGAGACACACGGCGGGUGCUAACGUCCGUCGUGAAGAGGGAAACAACCCAGACCGCCAGCUAAGGUCCCAAAGUCAUGGUUAAGUGGGAAACGAUGUGGGAAGGCCCAGACAGCCAGGAUGUUGGCUUAGAAGCAGCCAUCAUUUAAAGAAAGCGUAAUAGCUCACUGGUCGAGUCGGCCUGCGCGGAAGAUGUAACGGGGCUAAACCAUGCACCGAAGCUGCGGCAGCGACACUAUGUGUUGUUGGGUAGGGGAGCGUUCUGUAAGCCUGUGAAGGUGUACUGUGAGGUAUGCUGGAGGUAUCAGAAGUGCGAAUGCUGACAUAAGUAACGAUAAAGCGGGUGAAAAGCCCGCUCGCCGGAAGACCAAGGGUUCCUGUCCAACGUUAAUCGGGGCAGGGUGAGUCGACCCCUAAGGCGAGGCCGAAAGGCGUAGUCGAUGGGAAACAGGUUAAUAUUCCUGUACUUGGUGUUACUGCGAAGGGGGGACGGAGAAGGCUAUGUUGGCCGGGCGACGGUUGUCCCGGUUUAAGCGUGUAGGCUGGUUUUCCAGGCAAAUCCGGAAAAUCAAGGCUGAGGCGUGAUGACGAGGCACUACGGUGCUGAAGCAACAAAUGCCCUGCUUCCAGGAAAAGCCUCUAAGCAUCAGGUAACAUCAAAUCGUACCCCAAACCGACACAGGUGGUCAGGUAGAGAAUACCAAGGCGCUUGAGAGAACUCGGGUGAAGGAACUAGGCAAAAUGGUGCCGUAACUUCGGGAGAAGGCACGCUGAUAUGUAGGUGAAGCGACUUGCUCGUGGAGCUGAAAUCAGUCGAAGAUACCAGCUGGCUGCAACUGUUUAUUAAAAACACAGCACUGUGCAAACACGAAAGUGGACGUAUACGGUGUGACGCCUGCCCGGUGCCGGAAGGUUAAUUGAUGGGGUUAGCGGUAACGCGAAGCUCUUGAUCGAAGCCCCGGUAAACGGCGGCCGUAACUAUAACGGUCCUAAGGUAGCGAAAUUCCUUGUCGGGUAAGUUCCGACCUGCACGAAUGGCGUAAUGAUGGCCAGGCUGUCUCCACCCGAGACUCAGUGAAAUUGAACUCGCUGUGAAGAUGCAGUGUACCCGCGGCAAGACGGAAAGACCCCGUGAACCUUUACUAUAGCUUGACACUGAACAUUGAGCCUUGAUGUGUAGGAUAGGUGGGAGGCUUUGAAGUGUGGACGCCAGUCUGCAUGGAGCCGACCUUGAAA
rnacentral:rRNA from 1 species